rnacentral:rRNA from 1 species
GAUGAACGCUGGCGGCGUGCCUAAUACAUGCAAGUCGAGCGAACAGACGAGGAGCUUGCUCCUCUGACGUUAGCGGCGGACGGGUGAGUAACACGUGGAUAACCUACCUAUAAGACUGGGAUAACUUCGGGAAACCGGAGCUAAUACCGGAUAAUAUAUUGAACCGCAUGGUUCAAUAGUGAAAGACGGUUUUGCUGUCACUUAUAGAUGGAUCCGCGCCGCAUUAGCUAGUUGGUAAGGUAACGGCUUACCAAGGCAACGAUGCGUAGCCGACCUGAGAGGGUGAUCGGCCACACUGGAACUGAGGCACGGUCCAGACUCCUACGGGAGGCAGCAGUAGGGAAUCUUCCGCAAGGGGCGAAAGCCGGACGGAGCAACGCCGCGUGAGUGAUGAAGGUCUUCGGAUCGUAAAACUCUGUUAUUAGGGAAGAACAAAUGUGUAAGUAACUAUGCACGUCUUGACGGUACCGAAUCAGAAAGCCACGGCUAACUACGUG